rnacentral:rRNA from 1 species
AGAACGAACGCUGGCGGCAUGCCUAAUACAUGCAAGUCGAACGAACACUUCGGUGUUAGUGGCGCACGGGUGCGUAACGCGUGGGAAUCUGCCCUUGGGUUCGGAAUAACAGUUGGAAACGACUGCUAAUACCGGAUGAUAUCGAAAGAUCAAAGAUUUAUCGCCCAGGGAUGAGCCCGCGUAGGAUUAGCUAGUUGGUGAGGUAAAGGCUCACCAAGGCGACGAUCCUUAGCUGGUCUGAGAGGAUGAUCAGCCACACUGGGACUGAGACACGGCCCAGACUCCUACGGGAGGCAGCAGUAGGGAAUAUUGGACAAUGGGCGCAAGCCUGAUCCAGCAAUGCCGCGUGAGUGAUGAAGGCCUUAGGGUUGUAAAGCUCUUUUUACCCGAGAUGAUAAUGACAGUAUCGGAGAAUAAGCCCCGGCUAACUCCGUGCCAGCAGCCGAC